rnacentral:rRNA from 1 species
GAUGAACGCUGGCGGCGUGCUUAACACAUGCAAGUCGAACGAAGCACUUAUGACAGAUUCUUCGGAUGAUGGAUUAAGUGACUGAGUGGCGGACGGGUGAGUAACGCGUGGGUAACCUGCCUCAUACAGGGGGAUAACAGUUAGAAAUGACUGCUAAUACCGCAUAAGCGCACAGGACCGCAUGGUCUGGUGUGAAAAACUCCGGUGGUAUGAGAUGGACCCGCGUCUGAUUAGCUAGUUGGUGGGUAACGGCCUACCAAGGCGACGAUCAGUAGCCGGCCUGAGAGGGUGAACGGCCACAUUGGGACUGAGCACGGCCCAAAACUCCUACGGGAGCAGCAGUGGGGAAUAGUUGCACAAUGGGGGGAAACCCUGAUGCAGCGACGCCGCGUGAGUGAAGAGUAUUUCGGAUGGUAAAAGCUCUAUCAGCAGGGAA